AUCCAUAUGACGAGUCCAAAGUAGGACAAAACACACGUCCGGGAU
rnacentral:hammerhead_ribozyme from 1 species